CAACACUGAAGGAGCCAGUUGUAUUUUUAUUACUCCUGCUUUCUUCAGACAAAAAAUUCUACUUUUCACACCAAAAGCCUUUUUAAAGGCUAACUUCUUUUAUUGUUUUAGCACUGUUAUUAGUUAGUGUUUCUGUUUAGACUUGAUAACUCUUAAUUUAUUUUGUAGUUUCUUAAUUUUAGCUUAUGGUUGACAGAUUAGCUUAGCAUAAUUUAGCGUAGCAAAACUUAGCUUAGUAUAACUUAGGUUAGCAUCAUUUAUUACCUGCUCACUUUUGUUUUUUAGGACACAUAGAGAGAUUUUUCCAGGUGAAGGAUGGGCCGCCCUCGGAAAAAGACCAAGGAGCCACCAGUCACCAGAAGGCCACCUCGCAGGAUCCUGCCAAAAAUACCAGCUCACAUGCUUCACACUGGUAUACCGUGGGCAUGUGUGAGGGACACUAACUCCCCUCCAGCUCUGCUGUGGAGCAUUCCCUGUAUGCAGCAGCUGCCGGCUACUCCACAGCCACCCCAGCAGGAAGACACUCAGGAGGUUGUUUUUCCGGUAGAUGUGGUGGACGAGCUGAGCUUUGUUCCUGGAAUCUGGGACCUGGCUGUGGAGAUGAGCUUUCUGCCUCCAUGGAGCAGGCCGCAGGUACAGGAUGGUCCUGCCACACCUCUGCCCAGUGUCACCAGCGCUUACAAGCCCUCCACCAGCACAUCAUCCAUGGAGUUUGAGAGCAACGAGGACCGCUGGAUUCUUCAGGACCAGACGGAGGAGGAAAUGAUGACCAGCGACCCAGCAGCAGACAGUCCACAGGGACCCCAACAAGAAGCCAGUCUGGAGGAUUUUUUGGAGGAGCUGAACAACAUUCCUGUCAUCUGGGACAUGGAUUUCGAGAUGUGCCUCCUCCCUCCACCUUACUAGUAUCACUAUUAGUAGCACUAGCAGCACCAAUAGUGAUCACUAGUACAGGUAAGCAUGAAGGUAAGUAUGAAGGUAAGUAUUUAGUGACGGGCGGCCCGGUGACAUUGUGGGUAGCACCUUGUCUCACAGCAAGGAGAUCUGAGUUUCGGUCCCUUCUGUGUGGAGAUUUGCAC
ensembl:lncRNA